rnacentral:rRNA from 1 species
ACGCUGGCGGCACGCCUAACACAUGCAAGUCGAACGAAGUAGCAAUACUUAGUGGCAGACGGGUGAGUAACAUGUAGGUAUCUGCCCUUUGGCCUGGAAUAACACGAGGAAACUUGUGCUAAUACCGGAUAAGUCUUUACGGAGAAAGCUUUAUGCACCAUUGGAUGAGCCUGCACUUGAUUAGUUUGUUGGUGGGGUAAUGGCCUACCAAGACUUUGAUCAAUAGCUGAUUUGAGAGGAUGAUCAGCCACAUUGGGACUGAGACACGGCCCAAACUCCUACGGGAGGCAGCAGUGGGGAAUCUUGCACAAUGGAGGAAACUCUGAUGCAGCGAUGCCGCGUGAGUGAAGAAGGCCCUUGGGUUGUAAAGCUCUUUCGUCGGGGAAGAAAAUGACUGUACCCGAAUAAGAAGGUCCGGCUAACUUCGUGCCAGCAGCCGCGGUAAUACGAAGGGACCUAGCGUAGUUCGGAAUUACUGGGCUUAAAGAGUUCGUAGGUGGUUGAAAAAGUUGGUGGUGAAAUCCCAGAGCUUAACUCUGGAACUGCCAUCAAAACUUUUCAGCUAGAGUUUGAUAGAGGAAAGCAGAAUUUCUAGUGUAGAGGUGAAAUUCGUAGAUAUUAGAAAGAAUACCAAUUGCGAAGGCAGCUUUCUGGAUCAUUACUGACACUGAGGAACGAAAGCAUGGGUAGCGAAGAGGAUUAGAUACCCUCGUAGUCCAUGCCGUAAACGAUGUGUGUUAGACGUUGGAAAUUUAUUUUCAGUGUCGCAGCGAAAGCGAUAAACACACCGCCUGGGGAGUACGACCGCA